CAGGCCAGCAAGGCCGAGGAGAAUAGCUCCGACAGCUUCGUGCACUCCAUGGACCCACAGCUGGAGCGGCAAAUGGAGACCACCCGGAACCUGGUGGACUCCUAUAUGGCCAUUGUCAACAAGAUGGUGCGGGACCUCAUGGUUGGUCUCAGGCCCAAGACCACCAUGCACCUCAAGAUCAACAACAUGCAUGCACCGCCUCAUGGGGGCAGGGAGCUCCUGUGGCACUGGGGACGCAUGUGGCCAUGUUGUCCUGCGGGAGAUGCCAACCAGCCCUAUGAUCAGGCUUCUGAGCCUGCUGGCUGUCAGGGCCGGACGUGCCAUGGCAGUCCCUGGGAAAUCUCCCAGGUGUCACCGGGCAGCACACAGGUACAGCUGCCGCAGCUCAUGAUGCAUUAUCUUCAUGAGCCCAAGGCACAGAAAAACCCUAAGAGAACUGCCACAGCACAGCGCUCGUUCUUGGCAUGGGAAAGAAUGAAAUACUCUAUUCUGCACAUAACGGCCAGAGCAGGCCACUUUCCUCUUCGUUUGGAGAGAGGGAGGUGGGGAUCUGAGUACAGUGCCAGCCUCCCCUGCUCCUGCCUGCCCACCCCACCUGAGGGCUCUACUCACCAUCCUUGUCAGCAGCACCAAGCUCCUGGGGGGCUGGGGCCCCUGGAUUUGAUGGACUUUCCUGCGGGAGGACAGGCUCAGACACUGGGGGCCCUCCCACCACCCUGCAGCUCCCCUGCCCUGCCCUGGCCUUCUGCUCACUUAUCAUGUCUCUCUCUCCAGAGAGCUGGAUGAGUCCGAGUUCUAGUUUUACCACCCGCUCCUUCAGGUCCGCAUUUUCCUUCUCGAGGGCCAUGAACUCAUUCUGGAGCCAAAAUAAUGGGGUCACAUCUCGGCAGCGACCUACCCCACCCCACCCUUCAUGGCACCUGCCAGGACUCACUCACCUGUAG